UAUACAUGCAAGUCGAACGGUCUUUUCUAUGGAAGCUUGCUUCCACUGAGAAGAUAGUGGCGAACGGGUGAGUAACACGUGGGUAACCUGCCCAUAAGAGGGGGAUAACAUCCGGAAACGGGUGCUAAUACCGCAUAGUUUUCUUGAUCGCAUGAUUGAGAAAGGAAAGACGGCCUUUGUGCUGUCGCUUAUGGAUGGACCCGCGGCGUAUUAGUUAGUUGGUGAGGUAACGGCUCACCAAGACGAUGAUACGUAGCCGACCUGAGAGGGUGAUCGGCCACAUUGGGACUGAGACACGGCCCAAACUCCUACGGGAGGCAGCAGUAGGGAAUCUUCCGCAAUGGACGAAAGUCUGACGGAGCAACGCCGCGUGAGUGAAGAAGGUUUUCGGAUCGUAAAACUCUGUUGUCAGAGAAGAACAAGUUGGAGAGUAACUGCUCCAGCCUUGACGGUAUCUGACCAGAAAGCCACGGCUAACUACGUGCCAGCAGCCGCGGUAAUACGUAGGUGGCAAGCGUUGUCCGGAUUUAUUGGGCGUAAAGCGAGCGCAGGCGGUUCCUUAAGUCUGAUGUGAAAGCCCACGGCUCAACCGUGGAAGGUCAUUGGAAACUGGGGAACUUGAGUGCAGAAGAGGAGAGUGGAAUUCCAUGUGUAGCGGUGAAAUGCGUAGAUAUAUGGAGGAACACCAGUGGCGAAGGCGACUCUCUGGUCUGUAACUGACGCUGAGGCUCGAAAGCGUGGGGAGCAAACAGGAUUAGAUACCCUGGUAGUCCACGCCGUAAACGAUGAGUGCUAAGUGU
rnacentral:rRNA from 1 species